rnacentral:rRNA from 1 species
AACGAACGCUGGCGGCAUGCCUAACACAUGCAAGUCGAACGAGAACUUCGGGCAGAGUGGUGCACGGGUGCGGAACGCGGGGGAACCGGCCAUUGGGUUGGGAAUAACUCCCCGAAGGGGGUGCUCAUACCGGAUCGGUACUUAGGACCAAAGAACUAUCGACGUUGGAAGGGGCCGCGUUGGGUUAGCUGGGUGGUAGGGUAAGCGCAUACCAAGGCGACGAUCCAGAGCUGGUCUGAGAGGCUGAUCAGCCACACCGGCACUGAGACACGGCCCAGACUCCUACGCGAGGCAGCAGUGGGGAAUAUUGGACUAUGGGCGAUAGCCUGAUCCCGCAAUGCCGCGUGAGUGAUUAAGGCCUUAGGGUUGUAAAUCUCUUUUACCCGGGAUGAUAAUGACAGUACCGGGAGAAUAAGCUCCGGCUAACUCCGUG